rnacentral:rRNA from 1 species
CAGGCUGCAACCCGCCUGUAUGAAGUUGGAAUCGCUAGUAAUCGCGGAUCAGCAUGCCGCGGUGAAUACGUUCCCGGGCCUUGUACACACCGCCCGUCACACCAUGAGGGUCGGGAACACCCGAAGUCCGUAGCCUAACCGCGAAGGGGGGCGCGGCCGAAGGUGGGUUCGAUAAUUGGGGUGAAGUCGUAACAAGGUAGC